rnacentral:lncRNA from 1 species
GAAAACCUCCAAGCUCUUAUAUCUUUCAAGCAGAGGAAUGACGCACCAUUUUUUUGCAAAAGGGUCUCUCUACUCUCAUUACGUAUCUAAAUAUUCCAAAGGAUAUUCCUUUUCCUCUUUCUGCCAAUUCGGGUAAGGACUGUAACAAAUCACGCCUUUUUGACCAAAUCACGUGAUGUCUGCAAAGUCCGUCCAAAAAAGAUCAACGAUCAAAUUUAAAACGUUCAUUUUGAAUGAAAAAUCAAAAAUCAAGAAUCCCGCCCAACUAACCCUAGAGAGCCCUAAUUCAUCUCCGAUAAAUACCAAACUUGGUGGAGAUUUUCAGCAACUUUUGAACCCACAUUCUCUGAUUUCUUACUCAUUGGAGCCACGCUUUAAGGGCUCGUUUUGGUCACCCCCUACUGGUCUCGUUUUAUCGAACUAGAGGCGGCGGCGUAAUCGUUUUGGAAUUUGACGAUUGUUCGAGGUUGCGGAGUAGAGGCCGAAGAUAGUAAACCUUGACACGACCCCAGUUCCUGCACCGCAAAAGGUCAGUUUUUCCUUUUAAGUUUUAGUCGCUCUUUAUUUUUAUUAAGUAUAAAGUUGUUGUUUUCUUAUCCGGUAGAAUCAUGUGUUAGUCCCUUUUUGUUUUGUUAUAGAAGUUCAUGGUUCAGUUGCUUUCUUUGUAUAAAUCAUGCAUACAAAAAUUUGUUUGGUUCACCCAUGAAGCAUAUUCAUAAGAUGCCGCUAUUUUCAUACUAACUAGGAAUUAAAAAGUUUCACGUUAAAACUUGAUCUCAAAAACUAAUUUAAUCCCUAUCUAUCUCUGUCCGAUUCAAUUUCAUUAAAAGAGGAGUAGAUCCGAAGCCUUAAGAGCACCAGGGUCACUGUUCCAAUAAAAGUUAGAUCUGAACCUGCUAUUCUGUAUUUAUUACUUUAAGUAACAUAUUAGAAAUCAUGAUUUAGAGUUCAUUUGUGUAUAGAAAUUAUGUCUUUAAGGAAAUUAGUUUCUGGGCGAGAGGUAUUUGCAUUAUGAGUGAUAAUAUUCCAUAAAAAUGCUAGCUGUUUUUUUUGCCAAAAGUUACCAUGUGUUUUAUCAUUUAUAAAUGUUGUAGAAGUUUUAUCGUGUGUUUUUUUUCUAUUUUUUAGUUCUUGCAGCAGAGAUUCAUGCCUUAAAUUAUGCCAGAAUCAUGACUAUAGUAACCUAUUGCCUUGCAUAGAUAUGUCGAAAGGCAACAUGUUCUCUAGCUGUUAGGAUUCAUUACAAGUUUGAACCUUUAGAUGGAAGCCAUGUUCAUCCACUGUGUGUAUAUAAAAAAUAUCUCAUUUUAGUUCGUGAUUAAGAACUAUUUCUAAAAAAAACCUUAUUAUAACCAUAGAUGGAUUUUUCUUACAUUUUGAGAAAUCAUAUUUUCAAGAAAAGGGUAGUAUCAAUUUGAAAUAUAUGUGUACAUGUAUAAGAUAUUCAUAUAGAUUAUUAAAGUAUCUGUUAGAAUCCAUGCUAAUAGACAAAUUGUAGCUUCAUUUGAUAUUAUGUUAUGAUUACAUGUGGUUUAUGAUCUUGUCAAAUGACUGGUUUAUGUGGUAGAAUAGCAUUAAGUCUUGUUAAGCAUUUGUCUUAUUUGAGGUAGUGUUAGUUUAAGUUAGAAAGAAAACCUUCAGCUAUUUUGUUGUAUAACGUGUCUAAUAGUUUAUUGUUUACCAGAAGUAUAUUCUAAAACUCUAACCUGUAUCAGUUUAAUCACCUGGAUGUAAAUAUUUAUAUAGGUUUAUGUAGGAACUUACUAUUGAAAACCUUUUCUCUAAGGCUUGAUGCUAAAAGUUUUGUUUGGAAUUCUAUUGUCUGAUAUAAAAGAAGCCUGCAGCCUAAAAGGGUUUUGACAAUAUGAAAGCUAAUUUGGGUUUUACAAAAGAUUUAUGUGAUUAUUCUACUCAUUUCGAACACUAAAGUUUUAAGACUAUUUUUACUAAUCUUUAUUCUCUAUUUUUUUUAUUUGCAUGUACACUUCGGAGCGACCUAGAGUCUUAAUGCAAGACUCAUCCUACCCGCAUAUAGUUAUCACAAACUAUCUUCUUUAAUCGCAUUAGACAAGAAGAAAACAAGCAAAUUUGUUUGGGGUCGCCUAUGGCGGAUUUCAUUAUUCUUUACUUACUUUGUCUAAAUUUCGUUAGUUUAUGUGAUUUGGUUUUGUGUGGAGUUUGUUUUAUUAUUGAUGAUUAAUUUUAUCGUGUAAAUUUAUAACCGUGAUUCUGGCCAAAUAUCUUACUAAUCAAAAAACAUCUAAGAAUUCAAUCACUUGGAAUAUUGGUACGUUCUCUUUUGAGACUUAAAGAAGGCAACAAAACUUUCUUAUGCUUGACAACGUGGCUUUUGAAUUGAGUUUUGCAUAUUUCUUUUUUUUUUCUUU